UACGUAGGGUGCGAGCGUUGCCCGGAUUUAUUGGGCGUAAAGGGCACGUAGGCGGUCACGCACGUCCGUUGUGAAAUCGCUCGGCUCAACUGGGCGGGGUCAGCGGAUACGGUGUGACUGGAGCAAGCUAGGGGGCAAUGGAAUUCCCGGUGUAGUGGUGGAAUGCGUAGAUAUCGGGAGGAACACCAGUGGCGAAGGCGGGUCUCUGGGCCGAUACUGACGCUGAGGAGCGAAAGCGUGGGGAGCGAACAGG
rnacentral:rRNA from 1 species